rnacentral:rRNA from 1 species
AGUGAACGCUGGCGGUAGGCCUAACACAUGCAAGUCGAACGGCAGCACAGUAAGAGCUUGCUCUUACGGGUGGCGAGUGGCGGACGGGUGAGGAAUACAUCGGAAUCUACUUUUUCGUGGGGGAUAACGUAGGGAAACUUACGCUAAUACCGCAUACGACCUACGGGUGAAAGCAGGGGAUCUUCGGACCUUGCGCGAUUGAAUGAGCCGAUGUCGGAUUAGCUAGUUGGCGGGGUAAAGGCCCACCAGGGCGACGAUCCGUAGCUGGUCUGGCAGGAUGAUCAGCCACACUGGAACUGAGACACGGUCCAGACUCCUACGGGAGGCAGCAGUGGGGAAUAUUGGACAAUGGGCGCAAGCCUGAUCCAGCCAUACCGCGUGGGUGAAGAAGGCCUUCGGGUUGUAAAGCCCUUUUGUUGGGAAAGAAAAGCAGCAGGUUAAUACCCCGCUGUUCUGACGGUACCCAAAGAAUAAGCACCGGCUAACUUCGUG